GUGGGGAAUAUUGGGCAAUGGGCGCAAGCCUGACCCAGCAACGCCGCGUGAGGGAAGAAGGUCUUCGGAUUGUAAACCUCUGUCCUUGGGGACGAAAAAAAUGACGGUACCCAAGGAGGAAGCUCCGGCUAACUACGUGCCAGCAGCCGCGGUAAUACGUAGGGAGCGAGCGUUGUCCGGAAUUACUGGGCGUAAAGGGUGCGUAGGCGGCUUGGCAAGUCAGAUGUGAAAUCCCCGGGCUUAACUCGGGAGUUGCAUUUGAAACUGCUAGGCUUGAGUGCAGGAGAGGAAAGCGGAAUUCCUAGUGUAGCGGUGAAAUGCGUAGAUAUUGGGAGGAACACCAGUGGCGAAGGCGGCCUGCUGGACAUUAACUGACGCUGAGGCGCGAAAGCCAGGGGAGCGAACGGGAUUAGAAACCCGUGUAGUCC
rnacentral:rRNA from 1 species